GGGCCCGUAGCUCAAUAGGUAGAGCGUCGCCAUGGCAUGGCGAAGGUCGUCGGUUCGAUUCCGAUCGGGUCCA
rnacentral:tRNA from 1 species